GACGAACGCUGGCGGCGUGCUUAACACAUGCAAGUCGAACGGAAAGGCCCUGCUUUUGUGGGGUGCUCGAGUGGCGAACGGGUGAGUAACACGUGAGUAACCUGCCCUUGACUUUGGGAUAACUUCAGGAAACUGGGGCUAAUACCGGAUAGGAGCUCCUGCUGCAUGGUGGGGGUUGGAAAGUUUCGGCGGUUGGGGAUGGACUCGCGGCUUAUCAGCUUGUUGGUGGGGUAGUGGCUUACCAAGGCUUUGACGGGUAGCCGGCCUGAGAGGGUGACCGGCCACACUGCGACUGAGAUACGGCACAGACUAGUACGGGACGCAACAGUGGAGAGUAUUGCACAAUGGGCUGAAGCCAGAUGUGGCAACGCCGCGUGCGGGAUAACGGGCUUCUGGUUGUAAACCGCUUUCGCCUGUGACGAGGCGUGAGUGACGGUAAUGGGUAAAGAAGCACCGGCUAACUACGUG
rnacentral:rRNA from 1 species